rnacentral:rRNA from 1 species
AGCAGCCGCGGUAAUUCCAGCUCCAAUAGCGUAUAUUAAAGUUGUUGCAGUUAAAAAGCUCGUAGUUGAAUUUCGGAAUCAAUAUGUCGGUCGUGCCUUGGUACGUACUGGUAUCAUUGGUUUCUCCUUUCUGACGAACCAUGAUGUCAUUAAUUUGGUGUUAUGGGAAGUUAGGACUGCUACUUUGAAAAAAUUAGAGUGUUUAAAGCAGGCUUUGGCUUGAAUACAUUAGCAUGGAAUAAUGAAAUAGGACGUUCGAACCUAUUUUGUUGGUUUCUAGGAUCAACGUAAUGAUUAAUAGGGAUAGUUGGGGGCAUUAGUAUUCAAUUGUCAGAGGUGAAAUUCUUGGAUUUAUUGAAGACUAACUACUGCGAAAGCAUUUGCCAAGGAUGUUUUCAUUAAUCAAGAACGAAAGUUAGGGGAUCGAAGACGAUCAGAUACCGUCGUAGUCUUAACCAUAAACUAUGCCGACUAGGGAUCGGAUGAUGUUAAUUUUUAANGACUCAUUCGGCGCCUUACG